rnacentral:rRNA from 1 species
CCCUUAGAUGUCCAGGGCCGCACGCGCGCUACACUGAAGGAAUCAGCGUGGCUCUGUCCCUGGUCCGAAAGGAUUGGGAAACCCGUUGAAUCUCCUUCGUGAUAGGGAUUGGGGCUUGGAACUGUUCCCCAUGAACGAGGAAUUCCCAGUAAGCGCGAGUCAUAAGCUCGCGUUGAUUACGUCCCUGCCCUUUGUACACACCGCCCGUCGCUACUACCGACUGGUAAGAUAUCUAAGGAGCAUGGACGUCGGCAGACGCGGUUCACGCCGUGUCUGCGGGCAGAAGCGCCCCGCAGAUUUCUUGCUGGAGGAAGUAAAAGUCGUAACA